rnacentral:rRNA from 1 species
UUCCGGUUGAUCCUGCCGGACCCCACUGCUAUCGAGAUGGGACUAAGGUAUGCUAGUCGAACGACCAGAACUAUGUCUGGAAGUGGCACACUGCUCAGUAACACGUAGCUAACCUACCCUUAGGACGUGGAUACCCCCGAGAAAUUGGGGUUAAUCCGCGAUAGGUGUAAUGUCCUGGAAUGGUAUUACGCCUAAAGGUGUAUCAUACAUGUUUGAUAUACGCCUAAGGAUGGGGCUGCGGCCGAUCAGGCUGUUGGUGAGGUAAUGGCUCACCAAACCUUUGACCGGUACGGGCCAUGAGAGUGGUAGCCCGGAGAUGGACACUGAGACAAGGGUCCAGGCCCUAAGGGGCGCAGCAACCGCGAAACCUCCACAAUGCACUCACGUGCGAUGGGGCUAUCUCGAGUGCCACCUGAUGAAGGUGGCUUUUCCUAGGUCUUCAAAGCCUUGGGAAUAAGAGGGGGGCAAGACUGGUGUCAGCCGCCGCGGUAACACCAGCCCCUCGAGUGGUGGGGAUGAUUAUUUGGCCUAAAGCGUCCGUAGCCGGCCGAGCAAGUCUUCCGUUAAAUCCAGCGUCUCAAGCGUUGGACUGCGGGAGAUACUACAUGGCUAGAGAGUGGGAGAGGUCAGCGGUAUUCUGGGGGUAGGGGCGAAAUCCUUUGAUCCCCGGAGGACCACCAGUGGCGAAGGCUGCUGACUAGAACACGUCUGACGGUCAGGGACGAAAGCUGGGGUAGCGAACCGGAUUAGAUACCCGGGUAGUCCCAGCCGUAAACGAUGCAUGCUA